GCAGGGCAGAGGUUAGUCUAUAAGGUGCCCCUGAGCAAAGGAGAAAGGGGCACUCACAGCAUGGCUUGAGCUCACUCUGUGUCCCAUUGUGCAGUGUCCAACAUGCCCAACCAUCCCAGCCUACCCUGAUUACGGGAUUGGAGAAGAAGAGAGAAGAAAAAAGAAGAGGAAAGGAAUUCCACUGGGAUCCAGGGCAUCAUUUAACCUUAGCACUCUGGCCAGAUGAAGAACCUUUCUCAAAUGGAUCAGGGACCCUGUGGGGAGCUGCAGCCCAGGAAGCCAGGAUGGACACCCAGACCAGCAGCCUAAUAUCUUGUGGACCGAGGCGGGACCAGGCCCUGUGGAGGAGGAGAAUCAGAAGUGGAAAGAGGCUCUGAGAGCGCACAAGCAGGGAGAGCAAGGAGCUCGAUUCGGGACCUGAACCCGGGACCCUGGGAUCGCGACAUGAGUCAAACGGAGGCAUUUAACCCACUAAGCCACUCAGGCCGCCCAAGUCUUGGAUUUCUAUCAGCGGUAGAUGAUCCCCAGUGAAUGCUAGGAGCGGGACAGCAAUCAUAGCAACAAAUCCUAGAAAGGACUUCUUAUGUGCCAGUGGGGAAACUGAGGCACAGAGCGAUGAAGUGGUUUGCCCAGGUUGGCAAGAGAACCCAGGACGGCUUUCCGUGGAUCCAGGAAAAGUGACCUCACCCAGGUCUCUGAUGCUGAUUGAACAGGACCGAGAUGGACCAGUGGCUAGAAGCCUGGAAGAUGUGCUUCAGGAGUGUGCCAGGGACAUCCAACCACUGAGGCACAGGUCAGGGCACACCCGUGCCUGACCCUGAACUCAGACAAGACACAGAGCUCCAUCAUGCAUUCCAGGGAGGGAGAUGCGAGCUGGAGCCUGCCCAGACCCUCCAAAGGGCACCCCCCACCCCCACAGAAACCUACCUUAUGCCCGUGCCAUGCAUGCCACCCCGAGUGUGGGCGAGUGCUCAUGUCAGCUUCAGCAUGCAGCCCGGACCUCCAGAAGGUAGGAGGUCCUACCGCCUGCCACCACCCCUCACCGUUCUUCACCUAUUUGCUGGUUGAUAACCUUUCCUCUUGGCCGGAAGGAGCACUCUCUCAGAGGAGUUCUUGACAGAGGAGGUGACAAGUAACACCGGAGGGAUUUCCUGCACCCCCUGUGGAACGUAACAGACGGAGGGGCGGGAUCAGGAAGCACUCACAACUUACUGCUGACCAGAACACCAGCCCUGAAGCAGCUAUGACUCUCUUAACACGCACAGGGAGCCGGAAGAUAGGAGGUGGAGGACACCCUCUUUGCACCCUCAGCAGGGAACCACCAGCCCAUUUUACAGCUGAGCCGAGAGCUUGGAGUGGCUCAAGGGUCCAGGAUUUCUGGGAACCUGGAGAACGCCCUCUUUAUAAGAGUACUCUAGCCUAUCUAUGAAAUGGGUAUGAUAAUGGCCAUCCCACAAAGCUGCUUGUGAGGGUUACAUACAUUAUUACACAUGAAAGUGACUGACAUGGGACCUGGCACAUAAACACAGCCACAGAUGUAUUGAGGAACAACCGUACCCCAGAAGUUGUUUUCAGUGCUUUUCAUAUGUGAGUCCACAUGAGUCUCGACAAUAAGCUAUGAAACAGGGCCUAUUAUUUUUUGUUAAGAUUUUAUUUAUUUAUUUGACAGAGCGAGACAACGAGAGAGGGAACACAAGCAGGGGGCGAGGGAGAGGGAGAAGCAGGCUUCCUGCGGAGCAGGGAGCCCGAUGUGGGGCUCGAUCCCAGGACCCUGGGACCAUGACCUGAGCCGAAGGCAGACGCUUAACGACUGAGCCACCCAGGUGCCCAAGCAGGAGCUAUUAUUGUCUUGAUUUUGUAAAAGAGAAACCAGAAAGGUUAAGGAAUGAGUCAAGGCCACACAGUAAGGCUGCCAGACCCUCUACCUGCCUUCUGACUCCAAAUGCAGUGCUCCCUCUACCCAUCACCUCACACUUCCUGUGGGAAAAAAUGAGUGAGCAGACAGGAAAAGAAGCUAGAGAAAGACUGUUUUCUUGGGCUUUUAAAGGACUGGGAGGGCUGGUAUAACCCAGGGAGCAGAUACCCCUCCCCUUUCCAUCCUUAACCACUGUCUGGGUUCCACCCAGACCCUCCUCUCCAAACCAGGGGUUUGGGACAAAGCUGGUAGAGGCAAGCAUCUCUUUCAAGAUCAGAGGCAGGGGGUUCCCCUCCCCGGACUCCCAUUUCACUUUAAAGGGGGGAAAAGCUCCCCAUGCAAUGAGGCAGAGCCGUGGGUUCCUGGGGGCCUUGCAGCCCUGUUGCCAUAGCAACCAGACUCACUAGCAGUUUCUGGUACAGGAGGUGGCUGGGCCCACAGCUUGGGCUGGAGGGGAUGAAGGGGUAGGAAGGAGACCUCAAGGGCAUCCCCUUGCCCUCAGACUGGACCACCCACGCCCCAGUGCCAGAGGAGGCUAGGAGCCCUCAUCACCCCAGAGACACAGGGACGGGCACUCCUACCCUUGAACUUCCAUCCUGAAUCUGGGGCAGCUGUUUAAAUUUUCCAACUUUUGUCCACCCUGGAAGUAGUACUAUUGUGAAGCCUCAGAGGAGGAACACAUCAGGGUUCACACAGCUUAUGGUCCAUACACAGCUCUAGGGACAUUUUCAUUUGUGUUUCCUUUUUUUCCCCCCUUUGACUGAGGUAUUACUUGGAUAAGGUGAAGGGCACAGAUCUUAAGUUUCAGCUCAAUGAGCUUUAUGCAUGCAUAUACCUGUGUCUCCACCACCCACACCGAGAGAGAAUAUGUCCAUCCCUCUGCACUCAUGCCCAUCCUUGAAGUCCAUAUCCCCCAAUCUGACUUUGUCAUCAUAGAUGAGUUUUGCCUGUCCUUGAAUUUCAUAUAAAUGUAACCAUACUGCACGGCCUCUUUUGCCUGGUGUCUUUGACAUAACACUGAACCUGUGGGAAUCAUCCUUAUCAUCACAAGUAUUAUUACUGUCCUUUUUCUUUGUUGUGUAAUAUUCCAUUGUAAGAAUGUGUUACAAUUUGCUUAUUUAUUCUACUGUUGAUGGGUAUUUAAGUUGUUUACAGAUUGGUUCUGGUGAUAAAGUUGCCAUGAACAUUCUUGUAUGUGAACACAGUGUACAUUUCUAUUGGGUAAAUACCCAGGAGUGCCCCUGCUGGGUCACUGGGCAGGUGUGUGUGCAUUUUUAGGAGACACCAUCAAACAGUUUUCCUAAACAGAGUGGCUGUAGCAUUUUACAUUCCCACCAGUGGCAUAUGAAAGUGCCAGGGUGCCUGGCUGGCUCAGUCGGAAGAGCAUACAACUCUUGAUCUCAGGGUCCUGAGUUCGAGCCCCACAUUGGGUGUAGAGAUUACUAAACAAAAAUAAAAAUAAGUUUAAAAAAAAAAGUUCCGGGACACCUGGCUGGCUUAGGCAGUAGAGCAUGACUCUUAACCUCAGGUUCAUGCGUUCAAGGCCCACGUGGUCAUGGAGCCUACUUAAAAAAAAAAAAGGCUCCAGUUGUCCACAUCCUUGUCGACACUUGGUGCCAUCAGCUUUUUUCAUUUUAGCCAUCCCAGUUGGUUGUGUUGUGGUAUUUCAUUGUGGUUUUAUAUGCAUUUCUCUGAUGACUGAUGGCAUUGAUUUGUAGGAGCCCUUUAUAUAUUAUGAAUAUGCAUCAUUUGUCAGAUAUACUAUUACAAAUAACUUCCUUCUGGGAGAAUAUUUCCUACUCCAAAUGAUCUCCCCGAGUUUUGGACUGGGAGAGGCACAAGAGCAAAUAACCACAGAUUAUUCUUUCCUGGUUCCUUCUUCAUGAAGAAGGUAGGUGCCCUGGUUUAUUGAAUGCCAAGGACUUUCCAUCAGUUAUAUCCUUAAAUAGUUACAACAUUCUUAUUUAAUUCACUUAUUCAACCUUUAUUUGAAAAUCUAAUAGAUGCCAGAUAUUGUGGGACACACUGAGAACAAGAGUCAAGGUCUAAAAAGAAACUGUGUUCUAGUGGGGGGUGGUGAGGCAGACUGUAAACACGCCGACAAGUAAUUAAGGCCAUAUCAGAGUGGGGAAAGUGUCAGAGAGGUGGUGGAUAAAGCGUGACUGAGGGGGGUUGGGAAAGUCCCAGCGACGAAGUACCAUGGAGCUGGACAUGAAGAAGAAGGUAGAGCUAGCCAUGUGAGAUCUAGGAGGACAGGUGUUCUAGGAAGGGGAACCCUAGUGCAAAUGCUCCGUGAAGCUGACCUGCAGGAAGGUAUGGGGAGAGGGAUCCCGAAGAGGUUGAGUGAAGGAUUUGAAUCGAAUCUAAGAGCCAUGGGGAUGGAUUGCAGUGUUCUGAACAGAAUGACACGAUGAACUUCUUGUCUUUUCAAAGACCCCUCUGGGCCCCUGCAGACUGAUAGGUGUGAAGGCAGAAGCAGGAGUCCGGGCAGGAGCGACAAUAAUCCAGGUGAGCUGUGAUGGGGGCAGGACUAGGGUGGGGACCGUAGAAGUGGGAAGAAGUGGGUGAUGUCUGGGGGACACUUUCUUUUCUCUGUUUCCUUCUUUUUUCUUUUCUUUGAAUGAAGUAUUACUCGGAUAAGGUGAACCGCACAGAUGUUAAGUUCCAGCUCAUUGAGCUUUAUGCAUGUAUAUACCUGUGUAUCCACCACCCAAACCAAGAGAGAGUAUGUCCGUCCCUCCAGAAAAUGCCCUCAUGCCCAUUUCUGGAAGUUCAUAUCCCCCAGUAUGACUUUGUCAUUAUAGAUGCGUUUUGCCUGUCCUUGAAUUUCAUAUAAAUGCAACCAUACUGCACGGGCCUCUUCUGUCUGGUGUCAUUCACAUAACACUGAACCUGGGGGAGAACCAUGCUUCAGGUUCUAGCUGAAGAUGGUUAUUAUCAUCCUCAACUUACAGGGAACUGAAUCUCAGAGAGGUCGUCACGUGCCCGAGGUCACACAUCUAAGAUGGGGAAAGGGCAAGAAAAUUCAAGUCUGAUUUUUCAAUUAUAUGAAAGAUGCCAGGUUGUGGGUGGCAUGGCCUUAGAAAAC